rnacentral:rRNA from 1 species
CCAGACUCCUACGGGAGGCAGCAGUGGGGAAUAUUGCACAAUGGGGGGAACCCUGAUGCAGCGACGCCGCGUGGGUGAAGGAGUAUUUCGGUAUGUAAAGCCCUAUCAGCAGGGAAGAACAAUGACGGUACCUGACUAAGAAGCACCGGCUAAAUACGUGCCAGCAGCCGCGGUAAUACGUAUGGUGCAAGCGUUAUCCGGAUUUACUGGGUGUAAAGGGAGCGCAGGCGGCGCGUUAAGCCUGGUGUGAAAGCCCGGGGCCCAACCCCGGGACUGCUCUUGGAACUGCGUGGCUGGAGUGCAGGAGGGGCAGGCGGAAUUCCUGGUGUAGCGGUGAAAUGCGUAGAUAUCAGGAGGAACACCGGUGGCGAAGGCGGCCUGCUGGACUGCAACUGACGUUGAGGCCCGAAAGCGUGGGGAGCAAACAGGAUUAGAUACCCGAGUACC